rnacentral:rRNA from 1 species
AAUCAACGCUGGCGGCGUGCCUAACACAUGCAAGUCGAACGCGAAAGCCCCGCAAGGGGUCAGUAGAGGGGCAAACGGGUGAGUAACACGUGGGGGACCUGCCUUCGAGAGGGGGAUAACGUCCCGAAAGGGACGCUAAUACCGCAUGACAUCCUGCUUUGGAAAAAGCGGAGAUCAAAGCUGGGGAUCGCAAGACCUAGCGCUUGAAGAGGGCCCCGCGCCUGAUUAGCUAGUUGGUGAGGUAACGGCUCACCAAGGCAACGAUCCGUAGCCGGCCUGAGAGGGUGGACGGCCACACUGGAACUGAGACACGGCCCAGACUCCUACGGGAGGCAGCAGUGGGGAAUCUUCCGCAAUGGGCGCAAGCCUGACGACGCAACGCCGCGUGGGGGAUGAAGAUCUUCGGGUCGUAAACUCCUGUCGAGCGGGACGAACGCUUGGCGGAGUAACAAUCCGCGGCAUGGCCGGAACCGAUAAAGAAAGCCCCGGCUACCUCCGU